GACGAACGCUGGCGGCGUGCUUAACACAUGCCAGUCGAACGGAAAGGCCCUGCUUUUGUGGGGUGCUCGAGUGGCGAACGGGUGAGUAACACGUGAGUAACCUGCCCUUGACUUUGGGAUAACUUCAGGAAACUGGGGCUAAUACCGGAUAGGAGCUCCUGCUGCAUGGUGGGGGUUGGAAAGUUUCGGCGGUUGGGGAUGGACUCGCGGCUUAUCAGCUUGUUGGUGGGGUAGUGGCUUACCAAGGCUUUGACGGGUAGCCGGCCUGAGAGGGUGACCGGGCACAUUGGGACUGAGAGAGGGCCCAGACUCCUACGGGAGGCAGCAGUGGGGAAUAUUGCACAAUGGGCGGAAGCCUGAGGCAGCAACGCCGCGUGCGGGAUGACGGCCUUCGGGUUGUAAACCGCUUUCGCCUGUGACGAAGCGUGAGUGACGGUAAUGGGUAAAGAAGCACCGGCUAACUACGUG
rnacentral:rRNA from 1 species